AUCAGAAAGCAAAAUUCUCUUCUCUCAAAUUAUUUUCUUCAGCAGAAGCUUUGGUUGUUCCAGUUUCAAAGUCCAUAAGAAUCUCAGGUAACAUUGAUACCUUAUCAUCUUCAUCCUCUUUAUUCGUAGUUAAUCUCUUAGUUCAGAUUCUACUGUAUUUACCAGUCAAAUCUCUCCCUUGUCAAAACAACGGUUAUCACUCAUCUCUGAUUCACAUUUCAUCCCAAAUCACUGUAUUCAUAAUCCUCCAAAUGUAUCUGGAUUGAUUUUGAACCGGUCAUCAUCAUCAUCUCCCUCAGUUUUAGAUCCAAAAUAUGCUUUUUUUCAUCAUUGAUGUCAUUAUCAAUAAUGGUAGUUCUAACUUCUAACAAUGCCCCAUUUGAAGAACCAAAGGAUUUAUGAAUGACCCAUUUUUUAUCCGACAGAAAUUGUAGAAUCUUCUAUUUUAGGGAUUCAAUGUUUGGAUUCGUCUUCUCGUGUUAGUUUAGCAUUUGAUCCACUUAAAAUUGUCUGCAUUUGGAGAAUUGGGAGAGUGAAUGUGAUGAAUUAUAAGAUUGAGAUUUGCUCCUUGGAAACAAGUUCUUGGAGACUCUGUGGAGAGGCACCUAUUCUACUACAAGUACUGCAUUCCAUUUUUCUGGUGUUUCUUUCUGAAAAAUUGCUUGAAUUGAUGGAGAAGAACUAAAAAGUUUGCCAUUUUGCCUGAUAAACAGUGAUACUGAAAUGAAGUGGAAGCAUGAGAAUAUUCUGUAUUUUGGUGAGUGCGGGGGUCAUUUGAAUUUUAUUCUAAGGGGUAAGAAUUUGCCAAAUUGCUCUAAUAUCUUCGAGAUGGAGGUUGAUUACAGAGGUUGGAAAUCAAUAUACUGGGUAAAUCUAGAUGGGUUUCUAUUUUCAAAUGGUUAUUCGCUGUAUGAUAUUGCAGAUUAUGAUAAUUUCUUGGGCACUAUCUUAUGUAUGAGGAAGUUGAUGGUGAUGAAGUGGAGUCAAAGGUGCAUACAAAUUUACUAGACAAGAUUAUAUCUUACUACCUCCGUUUCUGGAAAAGAGUUAUUAUUGUUUUUUCACAGAUGUGUGCUGGCUGGAAUGAUUUCUGUUCAAGAACAUGGCAGCAUGCUCAUCAUUAUAUCGAAUCUGUUGCUAAUGUUUGACUAUCCCAAUUGAUGUUUCAAAUCUUCUCCGGUUUCUCUAUGUGUGGAGGGUUCUUAAUUGCUAUCUGAAGCCCAUAUCAAGGCUUGUUCUUUUGUUUCGACACAUGCUGUUUUUGUGGAGGGUUAGAGCCUCCGCUGUAGGACCAGGCGCAACCAGGAUGAUAAUGUCGAGGCCCAAGAAGAGAUGCUGAAGAGGGCAACCUGAUCAAUGGACCUGCUAGCAGAUAAAUAUUUCAAAUUUUGUUGCAGAAGUCUGCCACUGCCAUGCUUUGCAUUAGGUGUAAUAUGGACAUAGCUCUCAUCAAAAACCAACUUACAAAGGAAGCAACGACCGGAUGUUAGAAAGAUCAGAAGCGAAGGUUAUUCAGGGGAUGACUUUGACAAGGCUGGACAAGAUGAAGACAAUCCUUGUCAGCAAAGGGAAGUUGCCUAUUCAUUAAAAGUUUCUUUCCAUUACAGGAACAAACACUUGUUACCGGAUUUAGAUUGGUUUCCUAAUUUGAA